AUUGAACGCUGGCGGCAGGCCUAACACAUGCAAGUCGAACGAGUGGCGGACGGGUGAGUAAUGUCUGGGAAACUGCCUGAUGGAGGGGGAUAACUACUGGAAACGGUAGCUAAUACCGCAUACCAUCGGAUGUGCCCAGAUGGGAUUGGCUAGUAGGUGGGGUAAAGGCUCACCUAGGCGACGAUCCCUAGCUGGUCUGAGAGGAUGACCAGCCCAAUUGUAACUGAGACACGGCCCAGACUCCUACGGGAGUCAGCAGUGGGGAAGAUUGCACGAUGGGGUCAAGCCUGAUGCAGCCAUGCCGGGUGUAGUAAGAAGGCCUUCGGGUUGUAAAGUACUUUCAGCGGGGAGGCGUUACCCGCAGAAGAAGCACCGGCUAACUCCGUGCCAGCAGCCGCGGUAAUUC
rnacentral:rRNA from 1 species